CUACGGGCUGCUCCAGUGAGGAAUAUUGCACAAUGGGGGGAACCCUGAUGCAGCAACGCCGCGUGGAGGAUGACGCAUUUCGGUGUGUAAACUCCUUUUAUAUGUCAAGAAAAUGACGGUAGUAUAUGAAUAAGCACCGGCUAACUCCGUGCCAGCAGCCGCGGUAAUACGGAGGGUGCAAGCGUUACUCGGAAUCACUGGGCGUAAAGGACGCGUAGGCGGGUUGGAAAGUCAGGUGUGAAAUCCUACAGCUUAACUGUAGAACUGCACUUGAAACUUCUAAUCUAGAGUAUGGGAGGGGGAGGUGGAAUUAGUGGUGUAGGGGUAAAAUCCGUAGAUAUCACUAGGAAUACCUAAAGCGAAGGCGAUCUCCUGGAACAUUACUGACGCUAAGGCGUGAAAGCGUGGGGAGCAAACAGGAUUAGAUACCCGCGUAGUC
rnacentral:rRNA from 1 species